GGCUGCAGGCCGACCGCGCAGGCGCACUGAUAGCUCAGGCCUUGGGGCCAGACAGGCCGCCCACUUCAGUCCCCCAACCCCCCAGCCCCUGCGCAGGCGCAGUGACCGCCCAAUGGACCUAAACCGCAACCAGAUCCACUCCUUCAGGAAAAAAAACAGACUGGUGACUGUAUCUACUGGAAAUGACACCUUAACAAUGAUGUCUUCCAACCUUGUUGGAGGGGACCUUUACAGGUAAUUGCUUGAAUCUGCCCUUUGGAACUCAGGAAGAUCUAGAAGGCUGAAACCUUCUUCCUACAAAUGAGAAAUGGGGGACAUGGAAGAGCUUUUGUACUCAGGAGGGCUCUGCAGUGUCCUGCUUACUUUUUAGACCAUCCUACUUAUCCCAUAAGCACUCCAGUCCUUCUGCCUUCAGGGAGGCAAAUCUGAGACUUGUUCCCCCAUCUCUUCACUUGGCUGUCUUGUGUAUAAACUUUGACUGUAAACCUUGGCGUUUCAGUAUUUUGCUUGCUGCACAUUGGGCAAAUGGACCUGGUUCAGUAACACUAACUGUGCUAGCACCUUGAUUUUGGUUUUCCAGCCUCCAGAACUGUUGAGAAAAUGAAUUUGUUGUUUAAGCCACCCAGUCCAUGGUAUAUUGUCAUGGCAGCCCUAGCAGACUUGAUAUACACCUCCAACAUGCUUGUACUAUGUGAUAUCCACUCCUGAGUUGAUGUCCUGAGGUCGGACAUUUUGAUUUAGUGGUUCGCAAUGUUUGGGCCCCAAACUUCUGACAACCAUGGAGCUGGUUACAACCAAGAACCCUUGUGCUGUUGCAUACCAUGCAAAAUAAAGUCUCAUACAUACUU